GACCCACAGGAAUUCUCCCCCUUUGGGUCCCGGGGGAAGCGGCCGGGACCCCUGUGGGAGACGGAUGAGACCCCGCGGAGGAAGAGGGAAGUUGGGACGCAGACACCCAGGAAGAAUGCUGUCUGAAUACUGGGGCAGAGAUUGGAGUUAUACUGCCUCAAGCCAAAGAAUGCCAAGAAGUGCUGGCCACCUGCAGAAGCCAGGAAAAAGUGUUCGUUGACCACACCGAUGGAGCUUGGAAGGAACUGGGAGUUUUCUGAAGAAAGUGGCUUUAUCGGGCACUCAUGGACGACGCUGCUGGACCAGGUUCAGUGACAGCACACAGACACGGACCUGCAGAGAUGCUCUGAAAGUGAAGGCUUACUUCCAUUUGGCUGUGGCGUCAAUUCGGUGGACAAGUAAUAUCUGCCUCCAAAUCACUUUUCAAACUGUCCAGGUGUUUAAUCCGAAAGCACAAAACAGUUUCUAGUCGCUUGGGGUCACGGAGUGGCUAGGCAGGAUCCUUGCCCUUAAGAAACUUCGCAUCUAAUAGAUGAAGCCUGAACGAGAGCCUUAUUGCAAUCGGACUUUUCUGGAAUGUUCACUGACUCAAUCAGAGACAGGGCUGGGGUUUGCAGAACGAUCGCAAAGGCAAGCGAAAAGAAACCGCGCUAAUUGUCAAUCCCCUAAUGGCAUUAAUUGAGCAUCUGUUUGAGAUAGACCUUUUUUGCGUGCUUCCUCCUAAAAGAAAUUGUUAAGGCUGCAUAUUUCCUCCUGUUUUUGGUGCGAGUGUGGGAAGAGCCAAAGAAUUUGCCACCGAGGGGGGCUACACAAACACAAUGCUGGUUAACGAAAACCUUCAGAUG